CUCAUGCCACCACUGCGGCACACCUCUCUUGUAGCUAUCGGGUGACCGCGUGUGCCGUUGCCACCACUAGCGAGAUCUGGGAGAAAGAGGAGGCAAAGAGGGAGAUGGAGCAGCAAGAAUAAAGGUAAAGGAAGGAGGAAGAGGAGACACCCUAAGCAUGCUGGUGACCUCCAGGCCCGCUACUACGACUUCUCCAAGCAACACCAAUCUACAACAGCAAGGUUCACAUUUAAGAAAUUAAUAAUAAUAAUGUGAUUAGGAUUUUUUGUGCCAUUAUAUAAAUCCCCAAAACCAACUUUUCUUUCUUUAUUUUGGGUAAGAAGAUACCCUGUUAUGUUUGGAAGAUGUUUAUUGCUUUGUCUUAGCUUUAGCGUUUGGCAUGAUCGAUGUUGAUGAUGUUUAGUAAUAGACUGGUUGAGAUUUUGUUAUGGUGCUUUGGAUGAUUCCAGCUACCAGCUAAUUAGAUAAUAUUUAUUGUUGGUUUCUUCUUCUAUAAAAGUGCCUUAUGCUCUUAAGAUAACCACAAUCCCAUUGUUUGUCAUAUCAUAAUACAACAAACUGCCAUUUUUUUGCCAUAUUACUAUGCUACUCGAAGACCAUUGGUAUUUUAUCGUUCUUAUUACUCCGUCAUAGGCUUACAUAUGUUAUUUUCAGUCGUACACCACAUCGAACAUCCAAGUAUUGUGUGGCAGGCCCUGUCCUCCUAUGCUCAACCUGAUAUGCUCUUUUAUAGUGUUGAUUGUGUGUGUUAGGAAUAUGCUCUUUUGUUUUGCAAGAAGAGAAUUGAUUGAAGCUUUGUGUGAUUAAGUUUAUGUGUUGCUUGCUAUGCAGUGUCUCGAGCAAGAUGACCAAGUGUUGGUGGGUGGGCAUCAACAAGGUGGGCUGUCAGCACGGUGU
rnacentral:lncRNA from 1 species